CCCUUAGAUGUUCUGGGCCGCACGCGCGCUACACUGAUGCAUUCAACGAGUUUCUUCCUGGUCCGAGAGGAAUGGGUAACCUUUUGAAAGUGCAUCGUGAUAGGGAUAGACUAUUGCAAUUAUUGGUCUUCAACGAGGAAUUCCUAGUAGACGUAGUUCAUCAGACUGCAUCGAUUACGUCCCUGCCCUUUGUACACACCGCCCGUCGCUCCUACCGAUUGAAUGCUCAGGUGGGCCAUUCGGACUUUCAUCAUGCUGGUUUCCAGUUUUGAUGAAGGAAAGUCUUGCGAACCUUAUCAUUUAGAGGAAGGAGAAGUCGUAACA
rnacentral:rRNA from 1 species